UUUGCAGGUCAUAUUUGCAGGGUAGAUAUGUAUGAUUUUGGCUUGAAAUCUUUGCGUUAUUGUUAAAAUCACAUGAAAUUGUUUAUAGUAAGAAAUAAAAUCUAAUUUUAUAUUAGUAUUAAAAUGGGUGUAAUUAGUAUAAUGAUUAUUUUUACUCUCAGUGUAGGAAUUUAAUAUUUAUAUGGGAGUGUGAGUUAGUAAUAAUAUACAAAUCUGAUAAAAUAUUUGUGCCAGCAUUCGCGGUUAGACUUUAAGGUUAAGUAAAGGAAGAUUAGUGUUGAGUUACUUUAGUAGUAUAAAUAUUAAUUUAUAGAUAUUAAUAGGUAAAAUUAUUAUAUUAUUGUAUAAAUAUAAAUUACUUAGAGGAAGCCAAUAAGCUUUAAGGAUAAACUAGGAUUAGAUACCCUAUUAUAUUAAAGUUCAACAAAUGUAUGCUAGAUUAUUAGUAGUUAUUACUUAAAAUUUAAAGGAUUUGGCGGUAAUUUAGUCUUGUCAGGGGAAUCUGUUUAAAUUUGAUCGAUACACCUCGUAAAAUCUUACUUAUUUUUAGUUUGUAUACCAUCAUUAGUAGAUAAUUUUUAAAAGAAGAAUUAUUAAAAUUAAUUGAUAAAAAAAUUAGAUCAAGGUGCAGCUUAUAAAUAAGUUUAAAUGGGUUACAAUAAAAUUUAUUUAAACGGAGUAGGUUUGUAAGUGAAACCUAGGAAGGUGGAUUUGAUUAUAAUGUGAGUUUAAUAAGCUCAUGAGAUAAAAGCUCUAAAUUAUGUACAUAUCGCCCGUCGCUUUCAUUAAUUAAUGAGAUAAGUCGUAACAUAGUAGGUGUACUGGAAAGUGUAUCUGGAAUUAUAAAGUAAUUAAUAUU
rnacentral:ncRNA from 1 species